ensembl:lincRNA
CAGCGAGUUCAAGGCCAGCCUGGACCACAUCGGGAAACUGUCUCAAAAAACCCAAAAGAGAAGGAGGAGGAGGCGGAAGAAGACCCGGGGGAGGUGAAGGAGAGCCCUGUCCGUCCUGUCCCGGAACACGCUGCACGCUUACUUGAUAACCAAGUCACCGGGGCGAAGCCGCGGGACAUUUUCAGAGCGGCAGCCAGGAACCCUCGCAGGGUGUCGAAGCUUUGGGCGAUCCUCAGCCCUGGAGACCCACACCGCGGAACGCGCUCUGCCCGCCAAGAGCGACUGCCAGGAGGGAUAAGUAAGCAGCAGGGCGUUGCGUUAGAGGACUCGGCAGAUCAAUUUCCACUGAGCCCGAGCGCCCUCCCCCACCAGGGGUGGGACAUGCGCACUGUGACUACGUGGGGGAGGGAGAAAUCCAGUGCUGGGGACAGAUCCCAAACCUUGUGUGCACUGAGCAAGUGUCUGCUCCAGAGCUCCCCCCAGCCUUCGGACUCUACUCAGGUGGAGAAGCGGGCAGGAAGAAUGGCCUCCUGGGCUUCCAUUCAGGCCAGAAGAGGGGCCCUGGGUGUCUGAACUGUCACAGUGACACUGCUGCUGGGGACGGGCACAGGGCUCCAUGGGCAGAGAUAAGAGCAGCAUUUGCAUCUCCUCCCUAGUGCAAUUCCGUUUUCACAUGCACCUACAUUACUCAGAUGAGCUUUUUUAGCUGGGUGCGGUGUAGGCCCAUCACUCAGGAGGCUGAGUCAGAAGGGUCUCCUCAAGUGGGAGCCUGUCUCAAAACAACAACAAAAUAUAUACGUAUGUAUGUAUAUACAUUAUUAGUGCAUAUUAACUUUGCCCAGUAUUGGAGUCUAUCAUGGCAUCAAUACAUUCACCCCCCACCCCCUCUUGUCUAAGGGUUUCCAAACUGAGUUGUUUAAAUUCUAACACAGAGAGUGCUAUGGAUUCCGUCCCCACCAGGGACUGCAUGGACACCGUACUGCUUAAUAAGCCCUGGACUCACUUCCCACCCUCAGCCCCAAACCAGGCGUUGGGUCCGCUGCGAGCUCCACGAGCUGGAAGCAUGAAGGUUGUGCGGUCCCUGGUGUCCUGACCUGGACAGGGAGUCAGGUGAUAUAGCUAGGGCCUGGAGGGUCUCAUACUUUAGCCCAGGCUGGGCACGGUGGUACAUCCCCACAGUCCCAGCCUCAGCAGGAAGAUCGCUGAGAGUUUGAGGCCAGCCUAGGCUGCAUAGUGAGUUCAAGGCCAGCCUGAACUGCACAGUGAGACCCUGUCUCGGGAAAAAACAAAAAAAAGUUGUAGCCCAGCCUGGUCAGCUCAGUAACUUAACAAGAUCUUUUCUCAAAAUAAAAACUGCCAGGAUGUAGCUAAGUGGGAAGGCCCUGGAUUUAAUCCCUAGUGGUGGAAAAAAAAAAAAACCCACAUGAAAUGUAACUCCCAGCCAGCCAGGUGUGGUGGCCAAUGGCUGUAAUUAUAGCGUUCAGGAAGCUAAAACUGGAGGACUGUAGUUUGAGGCCAGCCUGGGCUAUAUACACAGUGAGACUCUGUUGAAAGAAAGAAGAAAGAAAGAAAGAAAGAAAGAAAGAAAGAAAGAAAGAAAGAAAGAAAGAAAGAAAGAAAGAAAGAAAGAGAGAGAGAGAGAGAGAAAGAAAGAGAGAAAGAAAGAGAGAAAGAAAGAGAGAAAGAAAGAAAGAGAGAAAGAAAGAGAGAAAGAAAGAGAAAGAGAGAAAGAGAGAAAGAGAGAAAGAGAGAAAGAAAAAGAGAAAGAUAUAUAUUCAGAGCUGAAGUGGUAAUCAACUUAUAUGUUUCCUUUUGUCGAUAUUAAAAUAUUUAAAUUCAGCCAGGCGUGGUGGCGCACGCCUGUAAUCCCAGCACUCGGGAGGCUGAGGCAUGAGGAUCGUUGCAACUUUGAGGCCAGCCUGGGCUUCAAAGUGAGCUCAAGAUCAGCCUGAAAUGCAUAGUGAAACGCUGUCUCAAAAAGACCAAAAAAAAAAAUUAAAUUCAUUCUAUAGCUCUUACACACUGACACAAGCUGUUUUUAUGAUCCUGAGUAAUUCAGUCUGCCUCUUAAAACACAGAAUCACGAUGCUCACACAGCCCUGAGAAGAAAGAACAAUGAAUUGCGUGGGGCACCGGGGGCGAACACCUGUGAUCCCAGCUGCGAGGAGGCUGAGACCAGAGGAUCACAAGUUGAAGCCCAGCCUCGCAACUUAGUAAAAACCCUCAAAAUUGAAAAAGUAAUAAAUGCAAGGAGAGGGCACUAGGGAUGUAACUCACCGGGAGCGCCCCCCGAGGUUUAAUCCCCAACACCAAAAACCUAAAUAAAUCUGAUAGUGGCCUUUUUAGAGGAGGAUGUGAAUCAGAAACACUUUCACUUCAUUUUUUUAAAAGUUACAUUAAAUAAAGUAAAACUGCAUUAGGUAUCCCACAAGGCUUUUUAAACACAAACCGUAGUUGCUGAAGUCUGUGAUGUCUCUGUAAGAAAACGCUGGAAGCCAGACAAAAGGCCGCUGACCCCGUGUUGGAACACGGUCAAGUAAUAAUUGAUAGCCGGGCAUGGUAGUGCACACCUGCCAUCCCAGCGCUCCAGGAGGCUGAGGCAGGAGGAUCAUCAGUUUGAGUCUCUUCUGGCAAUUUAGGGACUGGUGAGAUCGUGUCUCAAAAUAAAAAAUGAAAAGGCUUGAGGAUGUGGUCAGUGCAGAGGUCCUGGGUUCAAUUUCCAGUACUGGAAGGGGAAAAAAAUUGAUUAUCCUCCUGUCUACUUGUCUGGGCCAGCGACCGCACGCCAAAGAGCCUGGCUUGCCCUGGCCUGUCCCUGGCCUUCGCUCCCUCUCCUGGAAAUGCUUUCAGCACCUUUCCUCGGUGUCUGGGGCGUGAGGUGCUGCGUGUCCAAGUGUGGCCGGGGUUCCUUCAGGAACAGCUCGCCAGUUAACCGGAGUCCAGGUCCUCCUUGCCUCGAAGGAAGAGCUGGACAGGCCAAGCCAAAGGCGGUGCCAGAAGUUCAUCUGAAAAGUGAGGGGUGAAGGAGUAAGGGAAAACUCGGCUCCGCGGAGUGAAGUUGGACCAAAUAAAAGAGAGGAAACGAUACAAGCAAAAAUAAGGUGCGCCUGGUGCAGUGGCACGGAGCGGGCUCCCAGGGGCGCCUCCUCUCUUUUAUGCCACCAGCAUCUCGCGGGAGCCCGCGGGAAGCUCCACAUCCGGGGUCCUGGGAGUUAUUUGGCGCUGCCGCAGGUCCUGCAGCUGAGAGCGCAGCCCGCUCUGCCGUGCCCCUGAGAGGCGUCGAUCCCACACACCCGCAUGGGGUGUGAGGAGCGGAGGGCUCUGUCUCCUGUGGCUUCUUCCGGCGGGAAGGCGCUGCAGGCCCUACGUUCUGGGGGCUGUGUGCUAUCCCACUGCCUUGGGGUACUGAGGCUCUGGCUGGGUCAAAGCAAAUAAAACCUGUCAGAAAAUAAUGAGAAAGGAACCUUGAGCUGCCUGUUGGAUGGGACAGAGAAACUUUAUUAUUAGCCCAGAUGUGAGAUGCAGGUCAGACCUCCGCGCUUCCUGGAGAGAGGAAUGUGCGCGAGAGAUGCACGUCAGAUGAAUUAUUCAGGGCCGGAGAGCCUUGGCCUGAGCAAGGUCCUGUUCUCUUAUCUGUAGCAGCUGGAGCUUUGCCUUUUAAAGGGAAAUUUCAGGUCUUCCAGAGGCUCACGGGAGUUGCUUUUCCUUCUGGGUGAUCUUGUUCCUUAGUUCAGGUGGGACCGGCUUCAGUGUGGAAACAUGAACCCGAUUACCUGUCUGCGCCACUUUUGCUGCAGGGGGUGAGGCAAGGGUCCCUGAGAAGGCCCUUCCCAUGCUGGCUUUAACUGGUCAGCAGGCGUCCCCUCUCUCCACGUCUUCACUUGGUGACCAGAGUGGACGCGAGGUGGGGCCCUCCGGCCAGGAGCCAGCAGGACUCUGUUCCCGGCCAGUUGGGCGGCUUGUUGCACUUGGCCCAGACUGAUGACGUAUUGUACGUGCCCCAUGGUCUGUGGCUCUACUGUGAUAUCCGAGGGUAGAAACGGCCUUCCGUAUAACAUCUGAAAUGGGCUCAAACUUAGCCCCGAUUUGGGGAUGUUACAAGUCCUCAUGAUGUACCGGUAGCAGUCGGAGCCAGGGCUCAGACGUCUCUUGGCAAAGUUUGCCAGAGCUCCCUUCGGGGCCUGGUUGGCCGUACCUUUCCAGAAGAUUGAGGCCACCAGGACAAAUGAAAGUGGUGCUUUAUCCCCAAAGCCUUUGCCACUCCCGGAGUUAUCUGGGAGGUCACAGAAGGCCCAUUGUCGCUGCGGAGAGAGUGGGGUAGUCCGGAUCUGGGAUUCCUUUGAGAAGCGCCUUGACUACCUCAGCGCCCUUUGUGGAGCAGGGAGGAAAGGCUUCAGUCCUGCCUGUGAAGGUGUCGAUCAGGACCGACAUCUGUUUAAACCCCCCACGUGGUGGCACGCGGGUAACGUCUAGUUGCCAGUCCUCCCCAGGGCCUGUCCCUCUCCUCUGCGCAGGUUCCAGUGAAGGAGGUUCGGGCUCGCCCGGGUUACUGUGGGCACACAGUGGGCCCACGCUGCAGACCUGUCGGGCGG